rfam:Pteropus alecto contig61189, whole genome shotgun sequence.
GUCUAUGGCCAUGCCGCCCUGAACAAGCCCGAUGUGUGAUCUCGGAAGCUAAGCAAGGUUGGGCCUGGUUAGUACUUGGAUGGGAGAUCACCUGGGAAGACCAGGUGCUGUAGGGU